rnacentral:rRNA from 1 species
ACGAACGCUGGCGGCGUGCCUAAUACAUGCAAGUCGAGCGAAGUUUUUCUGGUGCUUGCACUAGAAAAACUUAGCGGCGAACGGGUGAGUAACACGUAAAGAACCUGCCUCAUAGACUGGGACAACUAUUGGAAACGAUAGCUAAUACCGGAUAACAGCAUUAACUGCAUGGUUGAUGUUUAAAAGUUGGUUUUGCUAACACUAUGAGAUGGCUUUGCGGUGCAUUAGCUAGUUGGUGGGGUAAAGGCCUACCAAGGCGACGAUGCAUAGCCGACCUGAGAGGGUGAUCGGCCGCACUGGGACUGAGACACGGCCCAGACUCCUACGGGAGGCAGCAGUAGGGAAUCUUCCGCAAUGGGCGAAAGCCUGACGGAGCAACGCCGCGUGAGUGAAGAAGGAUUUCGGUUCGUAAAGCUCUGUUGUUAGGGAAGAAUGAUUGUGUAGUAACUAUACACAGUAGAGACGGUACCUAACCAGAAAGCCACGGCUAACUACGUG